ensembl:lncRNA
GAUGCUUAUUACUGUGACAAGAUAUCAGUGCUAUUCCUGUUCAUAAGUGAUGCUUAUUACUGUAACAGGAGAUCAGUGCUAUUCCUGUUCAUAGGUUAUGCUUAUUACUAUAACAGGAGAUCAGUGCUAUUCCUGUUCAUAGGUUAUGCUUAUUACUAUAACAGGAGAUCAGUGCUAUAACUAGAAUCUUAUGAAUCUCACGUCAUCAUCUCAGAGACAUUUGUGAGUGGCAUUGGGUGACAUAGGGUCCUAUUCCUGCCUAUAAGGGAUGCUGCAUAACAAGUUAUAAUGCCAUAACAACAUGGCUAUAAAGCCAUCACAUGCUUACAGACAAAGGUACUAAACAGAAGAAGUUGCCCCUAGGCACCGAUUCUGGGUCAGACAUUAGUUGCAUCCCCCUACCAGUUAAAGUUAUUGUUGGGGCUAGGUGAUCUGAUCCUAGAUCUGUGGUUAGGGACAACAGUAGAAAUUCCCACCAAGGGCAAUGUGACGAGGAGAUAUAACUGGACAGAGAUGAGAGAUGUAUAGUGAAUAGGUUGUACCCUGCCUUUGACCAGGCCCCAUAGGGCCCUAUAGGAGAUCAAUCAGAGAUACUGUGAGUUCGAGAGAGAUACUGUUUACUGGGACCUGGAUGAAACUGCUGUCUUUAAGGCACUUUAUUAAAAACACACACACACACACACACAGGUGCACUCACACACACACACAGGUACACUCAGGCACACACACACACAGGUACACUCAAACACACACACACAGGUGCACUCAAACACACUGACACACACACACACACACACACACACAGGUGCACUCAAACACACACACACACACACACAGGCGCACUCAAACACACACAUAAGCACACUCAUCUAAGACAAACAGACAAACCCUACAGGUAACUUUAGGCAGUUAUCUGUAUGUAAAUAGGGCCGUUUGGGGACACACCCCCACAGUGAGUUCCAGUGAGUCAGGAUGCCUUUCCCUCUGUGGCCUCCAGGGGGUAGCAUGGUACUGUGUGUGUUUGGGAGACUGGUGAUUAUGAAUGAGUAACAUGAUUAUUAACAGACACUAUGUCUCUGUGUGACUGAGAGAGGAUUCAUUCAUAAAUUCUACUGUGAGGUUGUGUGCGUGCUUGUGAGUGUGUGUUUCAGUUAAUUGUUUGACUAUUUGAUGGGCCAUUAUUAAAGAGUGGUAUUGGGAACCACCCCUUGUACACAUACACACACACACACAAUCUCUAGGAAUGGAAAUGAGAUUGUAGGACCCAGCUCUGUGCGGCUGUACAUGUAUGGGUCUGUAUUUUGUAGAUUGUUUUUUGAAUUAAAAUACUAAUAAUUAAUAACUGUCAUUUUCUCUGUGGGUGUGUUUGGAGGGGGGGGUGAACGUAAUGGAUCUCCUUGCUGACUUGUGUCCAAGGUCUGUCUGUUUAUUGAUACUGUCUCCCCCUAUUGGUCGUGGUGAGCAGUGCUCUUCAGUUCUGAAGCUCAGUCUUCACUCAUCGCCUGGUGAGGAGCUAUGAAAUAUGGUUCUCUUUAAGGUAUCAGAAAGCCUGGUGAGGAGCUAUGAAAUAUGGUUCUCUUUAAGGUAUCAGAAAGCCUGGUGAGGAGCUAUGAAAUAUGGUUCUCUUUAAGGUAUCAGAAAGCCUGGUGAGGAGCUAUGAAAUAUGGUUCUCUUUAAGGUAUCAGAAAGCCUGGUGAGGAGCUAUGAAAUAUGGUUCUCUUUAAGGUAUCAGAAAGCCGUUGAACCAGAAACACACUGGAGAAACUGAUGGCCGAGGUAGGUUACUUAGCAACUCUGACUAAAAUGUCGGCCGUCCUCUCUUUCACAACCGGAGACAACCGUCCUCGCUUUCACAACCAGAGACAACCGUCCUCGCUUUCACAACCGGAGACAACCGUCCUCGCUUUCACAACCGGAGAUAUGUGUUUGACGUCGGCAGUUUGCUUUUUUGUGACGACAGGACCGCACUAAACUUUCA